CGGGGAGGAGGAUAAAAAAGAUGUGAAACUGACCACCGCGAAUAAAGUGACCAUUAUCGUGAUGGUGGCAUGUUUUGCCAUUUUAUUUGGUGUCGGGUAUUGUAUCUACAAGAAGCGUCGACAGCGGCAAGAGAGCCGUUUUCAUCCAGACGCUAUACCUCUGGAAACCGUAAAACUAAGAAACUGAUUGCGCAUUCAUCGUUAACAAGCGUUCACAACGGGAAGAGC